AGCGAACGCUGGCGGCAGGCCUAACACAUGCAAGUCGAACGAACCUUUCGGGGUUAGUGGCGGACGGGUGAGUAACACGUGGGAACGUGCCUUUAGGUUCGGAAUAACUCAGGGAAACUUGUGCUAAUACCGAAUGUGCCCUUCGGGGGAAAGAUUUAUCGCCUUUAGAGCGGCCCGCGUCUGAUUAGCUAGUUGGUUGAGGUAAUGGCUCACCAAGGCGACGAUCAGUAGCUGGUCUGAGAGGAUGAUCAGCCACAUUGGGACUGAGACACGGCCCAAACUCCUACGGGAGGCAGCAGUGGGGAAUCGUGCGCAAUGGGCGAAAGCCUGACGCAGCCAUGCCGGGUGAAUGAUGAAGGUCUUAGGAUUGUAAAAUUCUUUCACCGGGGAAGAUAAUGACGGUACCCGGAGAAGAAGCCCCGGCUAACUUCGUG
rnacentral:rRNA from 1 species